rnacentral:rRNA from 1 species
CAAUAGCGUAUAUUAAAGUUGCUGCAGUUAAAACGCUCGUAGUCGAAUUUCGGUGUAGUGGGUGCCUCACGGCUACUCGCACGCCUUUUCUUGGCGCUAUAUCAGGGCCAAGACGUUUACUUUGAAUAAAAUAGAGUGUUCAACGCAGACAUAUUGUUUGGAUACAUUAGCAUGGAAUAAUUGAAUAGGACUUUCGUUCUAUUUGUUGGUUUGUAGAACGAGAGUAAUGAUUAUGAGGGACGAGUUGGGGGCGACUAGUAUUUGGUAAGCCAGAGGUGAAAUUCACGGACUUUCCAAGGACUAACUACUGCGAAAGCAUCUGCCAGGGAGUGUUUUCUAUUGAUCAAGAACGAAAGUUAGGGGAGUCAAAGACGAUUAGAUACCAU